rnacentral:lncRNA from 12 species
AUCCACAUUAACCGUUUUGAUCCACAUUAACCGUUUUGAUCCACAUUAACCGUUUUGAUCCACAUUAACCGUUUUGGCCCCACAUUAACCGGGUUCAAUUUCACAUUUUUGUUGUUUGCUCCCACAGGAAUUCCCUUUACCUUUCCCCGUUCCCUUCCUGGCGCCUUUCCUGGCUCUGGCCAUUCCCAGGAUUUCUGCAUCCAGCUCAUCCAGCUCCUCCAGCCCAUCCAGGUGCUCCAGGUGCUCCUGGGGGGAGGGGCAGCCCCUGCCCUCACCUGCAGCCCAGGUGGGAUCCCCAGAUCCCCCCGGGGAAUCCUGUCCCCGCUCACCUGCGCUCCCUCCUCGCUCUCCGUCGGGAAUUUCCCUCGGGAAUCUCCAUCCAGGGCCCCCCUGCAGGGCCCAGGUCAGGGGGGUGGGGAGGGGUCCCAGGUGCUCCCAGGUGGGAGCGCAGGGCUAGGUGACCCCGC